rnacentral:rRNA from 1 species
ACGGGAGGCAGCAGUGGGGAAUAUUGCACAAUGGGGGAAACCCUGAUGCAGCGACGCCGCGUGAGCGAAGAAGUAUUUCGGUAUGUAAAGCUCUAUCAGCAGGGAAGAAAAUGACGGUACCUGACUAAGAAGCUCCGGCUAAAUACGUGCCAGCAGCCGCGGUAAUACGUAUGGAGCAAGCGUUAUCCGGAUUUACUGGGUGUAAAGGGAGCGUAGACGGAACAGCAAGUCUGAUGUGAAAGGCAGGGGCUCAACUCCUGGACUGCAUUGGAAACUGUUGAUCUUGAGUGUCGGAGAGGUAAGCGGAAUUCCUAGUGUAGCGGUGAAAUGCGUAGAUAUUAGGAGGAACACCAGUGGCGAAGGCGGCUUGCUGGACGACAACUGACGCUGAGGCGCGAAAGCGUGGGGAGCAAACAGGAUUAGAUACCCUGGUA